UACGUAGGGUGCAAGCGUUAAUCGGAAUUACUGGGCGUAAAGCGUGCGCAGGCGGUUGUGCAAGACCGAUGUGAAAUCCCCGGGCUUAACCUGGGAAUGGCACUGGUGACUGCACGGCUAGAGUGUGUCAGAGGGGGGUAGAAUUCCACGUGUAGCAGUGAAAUGCGUAGAGAUGUGGAGGAAUACCGAUGGCGAAGGCAGCCCCCUGGGAUAACACUGACGCUCAGGCACGAAAGCGUGGGGAGCAAACAGG
rnacentral:rRNA from 1 species